rnacentral:rRNA from 1 species
GACGAACGCUGGCGGCGUGCUUAACACAUGCAAGUCGAACGGAAAGGCCCUGCUUUUGUGGGGUGCUCGAGUGGCGAACGGGUGAGUAACACGUGAGUAACCUGCCCUUGACUUUGGGAUAACUUCAGGAAACUGGGGCUAAUACCGGAUAGGAGCUCCUGCUGCAUGGUGGGGGUUGGAAAGUUUCGGCGGUUGGGGAUGGACUCGCGGGUUAUCAGCUUGUUGGUGGGGUAGUGGCUUACCAAGGCAUUGACGGGUAGCCGGCCUGAGAGGGUGACCGGCCACAUUGGGACUGAGAUACGGCCCAGACUCCUACGGGAGGCAGCAGUGGGGAAUAUUGCACAAUGGGCGGAAGCCUGAUGCAGCAACGCCGCGUGCGGGAUGACGGCCUUCGGGUUGUAAACCGCUUUCGCCUGUGACGAAGCGUGAGUGACGGUAAUGGGUAAAGAAGCACCGGCUAACUACGUG